GCGGAUGACGAGCCUUGCCCAGCCUGAAAGGUGAUGAUGUCGGUAUUAGCUGACGC
rfam:Pyrococcus abyssi GE5 complete genome; segment 2/6